GGCCAUCUGACCCAAUUGAAGUCAAGACCACACAGAUUCUAUCCCGAAUCGCCGCUGCUCUUGUCCUGGGUGCCACGCUCGCGCCCUAGUUACAUGGCAUGAUUGGCUUCCUCCUGCCAUGAUGGCUUGUCCCAGUUCCAGAAGCACAGACACCUGACCAGCAACUGAAACCUUUGAGACAACCGGGAGCCACACAAUGGAAAGCUCGGCUUCUAAAUCAGACCUCCAUGUGUUUCAUGUAAUGU
ensembl:lincRNA 1700063D05Rik RIKEN cDNA 1700063D05 gene